rnacentral:rRNA from 1 species
GACAGAGGGUGCAAACGUUGCUCGGAAUCACUGGGCGUAAAGGGCGUGUAGGCAGGAAUGUAAGUCGGGCGUGAAAUCCCUAGGCUCAACCUAGGAACUGCACUCGAAACUGCGUUUCUUGAGUGCCGGAGAGGAAAGCGGAAUUCCUGGUGUAGAGGUGAAAUUCGUAGAUAUCAGGAGGAACACCAGUGGCGAAGGCGGCUUUCUGGACGGUAACUGACGCUGAGACGCGAAAGCGUGGGGAGCAAACAGG